GGGCGCUCCAUGCCGAAACACAAACAUGAACCGUAAGGAGACCAGUGACUAGCUGGUCGCCCUCAACAAGGCCGAGGCCAAGUUCAUCAACUGACAGGCCGAGGCUGAGAAGACCUGGCGGGAGGUCGAUGAAUACAUCGCCAACCAGGAUGCCAAACUGAAGGCGUGCAAGAUCUCCCUCAACUGCCACUAAGAAUAGCUUGCAGCCCGCGAGAAAGAUCUUGCUGAUAAUCUUGGGGUCAGAUGGGCAAGAAGGUUCAUGUCUUGGAGAUGGAGCACAAAGCUGCAUUCGAGAGCAGGCGAUUGAGUGCACCGGCAAGCUCUAAAAGUUCGUGAAUGCUGCUGAGGCCAGCCAAGGCCGUGUUGGAGGGAAAGUUGUAGCUGCUGG
rnacentral:lncRNA from 1 species